rnacentral:rRNA from 1 species
AGUGAACGCUGGCGGUAUGCCUAACACAUGCAAGUCGAACGGCAGCACAGUAAGAGCUUGCUCUUACGGGUGGCGAGUGGCGGACGGGUGAGGUAUACAUCGGAAUCUACUUUUUCGUGGGGGAUAACGUAGGGAAACUUACUCUAAUACCGCAUACGACCUACGGGUGAAAGCAGGGGAUCUUCUGACCUUUUGCGAGUGAAUGAGCCGAUCUCGGAUUAGCUAGUUGGCGGGGUAAAGACCCACCAAGGCGACGAUCCGUAGCUGGUCUGAGAGGAUGAAUCGCCACACUGGAACUGAGACACGGUACCGACUCCUACGGGGGGAAGCGGUGGGGACUAUUGGGGAAGGGACGAAAGCCUGAUCCAGCAAAACCGCGUGAGUGAAGAACGACUAAGGCUUGUAAAGCCAUUUUGUUGGGAGAGAAAAGAAGCAGGUUAACACGCCACUAUAAUGACGGUACCCAAAGAAUAAGCACCGGCUAACUUCGUG